UUAAAGAAUUAUUUGUCAAGCUGUCCAAUCAUGCUGCCUGCAUAUAAUCUUGUUCUGUUUAGGAGUUAAGACUUAAUAUUUCAUGAUUACAACAAUACAAAGUACAUAAUUUGUGAAGUUCUCGUCAAACUUCAGCCGCUAGUGUGGUCGGUGGAAGGCCUUCUUGCUUCUUCUUUUUUUCUUCUUCUUCUUCUUGUUUUUGUUAGAUAAAUAAUAUUAUUGGGAUAGGCAUCUAAUGCUGAAAUACGUAUAUACAAACGCAUAACAUCCAAGAUUAGAAGAGGCUGAAAAAAGAAGAGAAAUGUCAUCUCCUAUCCAAGCUAUAUCCUUAAGUAACCAUAUGAGUCAAAUUGCAUGGUUUUCCUUGUUUCUUUCUUUCUCAAGAGUGUAGCAUAGUUGGUUAGCUUUCCCCAGUGUUAAUGAUUAUUGUGUUUUGAGUAUACUUAUCUGGACUAUUUAUAUCAAGAUUGGGUUAUUAGUACUCAUAUUAGAAUCGCCAGGAGCUCCUCAUUCGGGUUGAUUCGAAAAGCAGGUGACUGCUGGUAUAUUUGUAAAAGGAAUAUAUUAAUCGAUAAGCAGAAAUACCAAUGUCCAAUCUUGGGAAGUGCAAUAAAUGAUAUAAAGUAAAAGAGUCCCUUCUUUGGUUGAUUAGAGUACAUGAUGCUUUUUUUCCAUUGAUAAGUUUUUUGGUGGAGUAUAUAAUAUCACAAACACCUAAUUCUCUUAACAAUGAUACUCAUAUAGACAGCAUCAUGGAUCUGCACUAUACCACUGCAACCGCCAAACUCUCUAGUCCUAUGAGGUAGGGCUGAAGAGGAAAUAAAAUAUGCUAUUGUUAAAGUUCUCUGGUUAGCGGUUUGCUUCUUUUCUUUUCCUGUGAAAUACUUAAAAGGUGACCAUAGAAAUUUGAUAUAUAAGAUAAAGAAAACCCUUGAAUUUAAAGAACAAAUAGCAACAUAUCAAUGGUGAAACUAAAUAACUGCCAUAAAAUAAUACACCUUUGUUCUCUUCAAAGGUAUUUAUAACUUAGGCUGCCUCCUAAUGAUUCUCCUUGUCUUUUUUUGUUCCCCUUUUGGAUGGAACAUAUCCCAUAUAUUAUUCUCCAAGCUAUCUUUGAAUAUUGGUGGCUGACCAAUUAUUUCAAGUUGUUGGAUGUAUGUUACAUCUGGCAUAUCAUUUUUCAGAUGCAAGUUAUGAUGCACCUUUCAAGUUGAAUAGGCUACCACAUAAGUAUAAGAAAUUAGCUUUUUGGUGCAACGUGGUCUAUGUAACUGAUGUAGAUUCCAUGUUAGAUAUGAUCGGGGACUUGCAGAAUCUGUAAUCUUUUCGCACUAUCGUAGUGCUGUUUAUAUCUUCUAUAAGAUUAAGCCUUACCUAUAAAAUAUUAGCAUGAAGGAAUCAAGCUGGAAAGAGCACACAGCGCAAUGUUGCUGCCUUCGCCUGCAGAUUAGUCUCUGAUUGUUUUUUGAAAAGUGCGUAUAGAAGAGGUGUUUCAUGUGUAAGAGUACGGGUGAAGAUGUGGAUCAUAUCUUGUUGCAUUGUGAGGUGGCUAACCGACUGUGGAGGGUGGUUCUUGAUUGGUUUGGGAUGCGAUGGGUGAUGCUGAGAACGGUGGAGGAGGCAUUGUAUAGUUGGGGUUACAGAAAGAGGAAGAGGAGUCCUAGGGCUUGGAAGGUUGCCCUGCUAGCACUGAUGUGGGUUAUUUGGAAAGAGCGAAAUAGGAGAGCAUUCGAAGGGGUGGAACUAGAUAUUGUAAAGUUGCAAAAUAGUCUCUUGUUUCUAGUUUGCUUUUGGUGUUCCCAUGAAGCCCCUGUUUGUAUAGAAGAUUGGGUCUCCUUUUUUGAGAAUCAUGUUUUGAUGUAGGUUCUCUCUUUUUGGUAUACGGCUUGUAAACGGGGUCUUUUCCCCCAACUGUUAAUAAAAUUAUUACCUUAUCAAAAAAAAAAAAAGGAAGACUAAA